AACCUCUCAAUCUGCCCCUUUCUGGCUUCAUUGCCAGGGAGGCCCGGCUUUCAGAUUGGAUCGUGGCUGGAUCGUGCCGUUGCCUGCGGAGGCAGGCGACAGCUCGGCCGAAAUGCAGACAAGUGACGACCGCUCGUGUUGAUCGGCUUGAACUCGACGUUGUAAUUUCUCCCUCGUUGAGCUACGGUCUUCACGCAUUCGAAGGCGCACUUCGAAAUACACUCUCUUUGAGCAA
rnacentral:misc_RNA from 1 species